AUUGAACGCUGGCGGCAGGCUUAACACAUGCAAGUCGAGCGGGGUGAUGGUGCUUGCACUAUCACUUAGCGGCGGACGGGUGAGUAAUGCUUAGGAAUCUGCCUAUUAGUGGGGGACAACAUUCCGAAAGGGAUGCUAAUACCGCAUACGCCCUACGGGGGAAAGCAGGGGAUCUUCGGACCUUGCGCUAAUAGAUGAGCCUAAGUCGGAUUAGCUAGUUGGUGGGGUAAAGGCCUACCAAGGCGACGAUCUGUAGCGGGUCUGAGAGGAUGAUCCGCCACAGUGGGACUGAGACACGGCCCAGACUCCUACGGGAGGCAGCAGUGGGGAAUAUUGGACAAUGGGCGGAAGCCUGAUCCAGCCAUGCCGCGUGUGUGAAGAAGGCCUUUUGGUUGUAAAGCACUUUAAGCGAGGAGGAGGCUACUAGUAUUAAUACUACUGGAUAGUGGACGUUACUCGCAGAAUAAGCACCGGCUAACUCUGUGCCAGCCGCCGCGGUAA
rnacentral:rRNA from 1 species